CUGCCCUCUUCAACCAUUCCCAUGGAAUUCAUCCUGUCCAGCCUCCGUCAGAUAAUCCAGCCCUCCCCCUCCUACUUCCAGAGACUAAUUUGCAGAUUCUAAUGGGUAUGUGCUAAGGAGAUGAUGAGUGAACACGCUGCCAGUUUGGUUGCAGUGUGUCACCGAAUUCCGUAGAUUCAUCAUCACUAUGUGGGGUGGAAGCUGCACAGACUACAACAAGGCUUC